rnacentral:rRNA from 1 species
CCUAGUUGAUCCUACCAAUAGUCAUAUGCUUGUCUCAAAGAUUAAGUCGUGCAUAUGUAAGUAUGAACUAAUUUAGACUGUGAAACUACAAAUGACUCAUUAAAUCUAUUAUAGUUUGUUUGAUGGUAUCUGCUACUCGGAUAAUCGUAGUAAUCUAGAGCCAAUACAUGCAACAAACUUCAACUUUUGGAAGGGAUGCAUUUAUUAGACAAAAGGUCGACGUGGGUUUUGCCUAUUGUUCUGAUGAAUCAUGAUAACUUAAUGGAUUGCAUGGCCAUUAUGCUGACGACGCAUCAUUCAAAUUUAUGUCCUAUCAACUUUUGAUGGUAGAAUAAGGGCACACUAUGGUAUUGAUGGGUGAUGGAGAAUUAGGGUCCGAUUCCAGAGAAGGGGCCUGAGAAAUGAUCACCACAUCCAAGGUAACAGGCAUGCAAAUUACCCAAUCCUGACACGGAGAGGUAGUGACAAUAAAUAACAAUACCGGGCUCUUUGAAUCUGGUAAUUAGAAUGAGUACAAUCUAAAUCCCUUAACGAGGAUCCAUUGGAGGGCAAGUCUGGUGCCAGCAGCCGCGGUAAUUCCAGCUCCAAUAGCGUAUAUUUAAGUUGUUGCAGUUAAAAAGCUCGUAGUUGGACCUUGGGAUGGGUCGACCGGUCCGCCUCGCUAUGUGCACCUGUCGCGUCAUCCUUUCUACUAGCGAUGUGCUCCUAGCCUUAAUUGGAUGGGUUGUGCCUUUGGUGCUGUUACUUUUAAGAAAUUAGAGUGCUCAAAGCAAGCCUAUGCUCUGAAUACAUUAGCAUGGGAUAGCAUCAUAUGAUUUUGGUCAUAUUCUGUUGGCCUUUGGGAUCAUAGUAAUGAUUAAUAAGGAUGGUCGAGGACAUUCGUAUUUCAUAGUCAGAGGUGAAAUUCUUGGAUUUAUGAAAGAUGAACAACUGCAAGGAAUGUUUUGACAUAUUUGCAUAGAGGAUGAGAAGAGAAAUUCAUUUCAUUUUUCAUAUAUUAUUGUGUUUGGAUAGAUUACGAUAUAUGACAAUAAGAAUAUAUAUAUAUAUAUAGUCAUACCAAAAUUUUGGUCUCUCUUUCAUGAUAUUUUAAUUAAAAUUUGUUCUUAUUAUUAUUCUUAUUUCCAUCUUCUUAAUGAAAACUAAAAAUGGGUGUGUGAUUUUUCUUAUUGUAAAAUUUCUUUUAAUUUGGUAAAUUGAUAGCAUUUAAUUGGGGUGGAAUGCACAACAUGGAUUAUAACAAUUUAGGCUUUAAAAAAUGGAUUCAUAAUUUUACCAAUUUUAAUAUUUAUUUUAGUUUGGGAACAUAUUAAAAAAUAGUCAAAAUAUUUUAUAAUUAAAAAUAAAAUAAAUUUUAAACAAAUGUAAAACUAAAGGUUUACUCUAGCUGCUAUCUCGUGAACGUAUUAUAACUAACAAUUAAACAAUUAAGGAAUAAAGUGUCCAUUUAAAUAUACUUCCUUUUUCUUUUCAUUUUAGAACUAAAAAUAUUUUAUGUGAAAGAAGAACAUCUUGUACACAAGUCUUUAAAAAUCACAUUUACAAAUUUUAAAAUUUGAGAUAGUAAAAUUUUUUUGACACUUUUUUUUUUAAAAAAAAAAAAUUAAAUCAUUAUUUUUUUCAAUACAGACUCUAAAAGUUGAUCU